rnacentral:rRNA from 1 species
UACGUAGGGGGCUAGCGUUGUCCGGAAUCAUUGGGCGUAAAGAGCGUGUAGGCGGCCCGGUAAGUCCGCUGUGAAAGUCGGGGGCUCAACCCUCGGAUGCCGGUGGAUACUGUCGGACUAGAGUACGGAAGAGGCGAGUGGAAUUCCUGGUGUAGCGGUGAAAUGCGCAGAUAUCAGGAGGAACACCGAUUGCGAAGGCAGCUCGCUGGGACGUUACUGACGCUGAGACGCGAAAGCGUGGGGAGCAAACAGG